CCGACCUGGCGGCAGGCUACACAUGCUAGUCGAACGGAUCCUUCGGGAUUAGUGGCGGACGGGUGAGUACACGUGGGAACGUGCCCUUUGGUUCGGAACAACUCAGGGAAACUUGAGCUAAUACCGGAUGUGCCCUUCGGGGGAAAGAUUUAUCGCCAUUGGAGCGGCCCGCGUCUGAUUAGCUAGUUGGUGGGGUAAAGGCCCACCAAGUGCGACGAUCAGUAGCUGGUCUGAGAGGAUGAUCAGCCACAUUGGGACUGAGACACGGCCCAAACUCCUACGGGAGGCAGCAGUGGGGAAUCUUGCGCAAUGGGCGAAAGCCUGACGCAGCCAUGCCGCGUGAAUGAUGAAGGUCUUAGGAUUGUAAAAUUCUUUCACCGGGGACGAUAAUGACGGUACCCGGAGAAGAAGCCCCGGCUAACUUCGUGCCAGCAGCCGCGGUAAUACGAAGG
rnacentral:rRNA from 1 species